rnacentral:rRNA from 1 species
GAUGAACGCUAGCGGCAGGCUUAAUACAUGCAAGUCGAGGGGCAGCGCAGCGUAGCAAUACAUGGGCGGCGACCGGCAAACGGGUGCGGAACACGUACACAACCUUCCUAUAAGUGGGGGCUAGCCCAGAGAAAUUUGGAUUAAUACCCCGUAAGAUAACGAUGUGGCAUCAUAUUGUUAUUAAAGCUACGGCGCUUAUUGAUGGGUGUGCGGCUGAUUGGAUAGUUGGCGGGGUAAAGGCCCACCAAGUUUACGAUCAGUAGCUGAUGUGAGAGCAGUAUCAGCCACACGGGCACUGAGACGCGGGCCCGACUCCUACGGGAGGCCGCAGUAAGGAAUAUUGGUAAAUGGACGGAAGUCUGGACCAGCCAUGCCGCGUGAAGGAUUAAGGUCCUCUGGAUUGUAAACUUCUUUUAUAUGGGACGAAAAAAGGGCAUUCUUGCUCGUCUGACGGUACCAUAUGAAUAAGCACCGGCUAACUCCGUGCCAGCAGCCGCGGUAAUAC